CUAUCCUACGGGGCGCAGCAGUGGGGAAUAUUGCGCAAUGGGCGAAAGCCUGACGCAGCGACGCCGCGUGAGGGAUGAAGGUCUUCGGAUCGUAAACCUCUGUCAGCAGGGAAGAACGGUCACUGUGUUAAUCAGCAGUGAAUUGACGGUACCUGCAAAGGAAGCACCGGCUAACUCCGUGCCAGCCGCCGCGGUUAUACGGUGGGUGCGAGCGUUAAUCGGAAUUACUGGGCGUAAAGAGCUCCUAGGCGGGAU
rnacentral:rRNA from 1 species